rnacentral:rRNA from 1 species
UACGUAGGGGGCAAGCGUUGUCCGGAAUCAUUGGGCGUAAAGCGCGCGUAGGCGGCCCGGUAAGUCCGUUGUGAAAGUCGAAGGCUCAACCUUCGAAAGCCGAUGGAUACUGCCGGGCUAGAGUCCGGAAGAGGCGAGUGGAAUUCCUGGUGUAGCGGUGGAAUGCGCAGAUAUCAGGAGGAACACCGAUAGCGAAGGCAGCUCGCUGGGACGGUACUGACGCUGAGGCGCGAAAGCGUGGGGAGCGAACAGG